ensembl:rRNA 5S_rRNA 5S ribosomal RNA
GCUUACGGCCAUACCAACCUGGCUAUGCCCGAUCUCGUCUGAUCUCGGAAGCUAAGCAGGUUUGGCCUGGUUAGUACUUGGAUGGGAGACCGCCUGGGAAUACCAGGUGCUGUAAGCU